rnacentral:rRNA from 1 species
UACAGAGGGUGCAAGCGUUAAUCGGAAUUACUGGGCGUAAAGCGUGCGUAGCCGGUUAUGUAAGUCGGGUGUGAAAGCCCCGGGCUCAACCUGGGAAUGCCAUUCGAGACUGCAUAGCUAGGGUGCGGAAGAGGGAAGCGGAAUUCCCGGUGUAGCGGUGAAAUGCGCAGAUAUCAGGAGGAACACCGAUGGCGAAGGCAGCUCACUGGGACGGUACUGACGCUGAGACGCGAAAGCGUGGGGAGCAAACAGG